UGACUGCGUACCUUUUGUAUAAUGGGUCAGCGACUUAUAUUCUGUAGCAAGGUUAACCGAAUAGGGGAGCCGAAGGGAAACCGAGUCUUAACUGGGCGUUAAGUUGCAGGGUAUAGACCCGAAACCCGGUGAUCUAGCCAUGGGCAGGUUGAAGGUUGGGUAACACUAACUGGAGGACCGAACCGACUAAUGUUGAAAAAUUAGCGGAUGACUUGUGGCUGGGGGUGAAAGGCCAAUCAAACCGGGAGAUAGCUGGUUCUCCCCGAAAGCUAUUUAGGUAGCGCCUCGUGAAUUCAUCUCCGGGGGUAGAGCACUGUUUCGGCAAGGGGGUCAUCCCGACUUACCAACCCGAUGCAAACUGCGAAUACCGGAGAAUGUUAUCACGGGAGACACACGGCGGGUGCUAACGUCCGUCGUGAAGAGGGAAACAACCCAGACCGCCAGCUAAGGUCCCAAAGUCAUGGUUAAGUGGGAAACGAUGUGGGAAGGCCCAGACAGCCAGGAUGUUGGCUUAGAAGCAGCCAUCAUUUAAAGAAAGCGUAAUAGCUCACUGGUCGAGUCGGCCUGCGCGGAAGAUGUAACGGGGCUAAACCAUGCACCGAAGCUGCGGCAGCGACACUAUGUGUUGUUGGGUAGGGGAGCGUUCUGUAAGCCUGUGAAGGUGGCCUGUGAGGGUUGCUGGAGGUAUCAGAAGUGCGAAUGCUGACAUAAGUAACGAUAAAGCGGGUGAAAAGCCCGCUCGCCGGAAGACCAAGGGUUCCUGUCCAACGUUAAUCGGGGCAGGGUGAGUCGACCCCUAAGGCGAGGCCGAAAGGCGUAGUCGAUGGGAAACAGGUUAAUAUUCCUGUACUUGGUGUUACUGCGAAGGGGGGACGGAGAAGGCUAUGUUGGCCGGGCGACGGUUGUCCCGGUUUAAGCGUGUAGGCUGAUUUUCCAGGCAAAUCCGGAAAAUCAAGGCUGAGGCGUGAUGACGAGGCACUACGGUGCUGAAGCAACAAAUGCCCUGCUUCCAGGAAAAGCCUCUAAGCAUCAGGUAACAUCAAAUCGUACCCCAAACCGACACAGGUGGUCAGGUAGAGAAUACCAAGGCGCUUGAGAGAACUCGGGUGAAGGAACUAGGCAAAAUGGUGCCGUAACUUCGGGAGAAGGCACGCUGAUAUGUAGGUGAAGCGACUUGCUCGUGGAGCUGAAAUCAGUCGAAGAUACCAGCUGGCUGCAACUGUUUAUUAAAAACACAGCACUGUGCAAACACGAAAGUGGACGUAUACGGUGUGACGCCUGCCCGGUGCCGGAAGGUUAAUUGAUGGGGUUAGCGGUAACGCGAAGCUCUUGAUCGAAGCCCCGGUAAACGGCGGCCGUAACUAUAACGGUCCUAAGGUAGCGAAAUUCCUUGUCGGGUAAGUUCCGACCUGCACGAAUGGCGUAAUGAUGGCCAGGCUGUCUCCACCCGAGACUCAGUGAAAUUGAACUCGCUGUGAAGAUGCAGUGUACCCGCGGCAAGACGGAAAGACCCCGUGAACCUUUACUAUAGCUUGACACUGAACAUUGAGCCUUGAUGUGUAGGAUAGGUGGGAGGCUUUGAAGUGUGGACGCCAGUCUGCAUGGAGCCGACCUUGAAAUACCACCCUUUAAUGUUUGAUGUUCUAACGUUGGCCCGUUAUCCGGGUUGCGGACAGUGUCUGGUGGGUAGUUUGACUGGGGCGGUCUCCUCCUAAAGAGUAACGGAGGAGCACGAAGGUUGGCUAAUCCUGGUCGGACAUCAGGAGGUUAGUGCAAUGGCAUAAGCCAGCUUGACUGCGAGCGUGACGGCGCGAGCAGGUGCGAAAGCAGGUCAUAGUGAUCCGGUGGUUCUGAAUGGAAGGGCCAUCGCUCAACGGAUAAAAGGUACUCCGGGGAUAACAGGCUGAUACCGCCCAAGAGUUCAUAUCGACGGCGGUGUUUGGCACCUCGAUGUCGGCUCAUCACAUCCUGGGGCUGAAGUAGGUCCCAAGGGUAUGGCUGUUCGCCAUUUAAAGUGGUACGCGAGCUGGGUUUAGAACGUCGUGAGACAGUUCGGUCCCUAUCUGCCGUGGGCGCUGGAGAACUGAGGGGGGCUGCUCCUAGUACGAGAGGACCGGAGUGGACGCAUCACUGGUGUUCGGGUUGUCAUGCCAAUGGCACUGCCCGGUAGCUAAAUGCGGAAGAGAUAAGUGCUGAAAGCAUCUAAGCACGAAACUUGCCCCGAGAUGAGUUCUCCCUGACUCCUUGA
rnacentral:rRNA from 1 species